CUGCAACCCCUCAUAGAUUGGAUCGCGGAGCAAUUGCCAACCUGGAAAGCGGCCCUACUUCGUCGGGCCGGCAGACUCACACUCGUGAACUGCAGGCUCUGGGCGAUGCCAAUCUUCCACUUAAUGGCCCUCGACCUGCCGCCAUGGUUUUUCAAGUGCAUUGACAAGCUUCAGAGAGGCUUCUUCUGGCGUGGGGUGGAGGAUGCAAAAGGGGGUUGUUGCCUCGUGGCAUGGCAUAUCAUCUGUUUGCCUAAACCCUAUGGUGGCCUGGGAGUUCUAAACCCGAGGCUGCUCAACCAAGCGCUGCGCUGCGCUGGCUAUGGCUACAGAAGACGGUCAUGGACAAGCCCUGGAACGGUCUGA
rnacentral:rRNA from 1 species